GACGAACGCUGGCGGCGUGCUUAACACAUGCAAGUCGAACGGGAUUUAGUAGACAGAAGCCUCGGCUAAAGAUUACUAAUGAGGGUGGCGAACGGGUGAGUAACGCGUGAGCAACCUGCCUAUGACAGUGGGAUAGCCUCGGGAAACCGGGAUUAAUACCGCAUAAAAUCGUAGAAACACAUGUUUUAACGGUCAAAGAUUUAUCGGUCAUAGAUGGGCUCGCGUCUGAUUAGCUAGUUGGUGAGAUAACAGCCCACCAAGGCGACGAUCAGUAGCCGGUCUGAGAGGAUGAACGGCCACAUUGGAACUGAGACACGGUCCAAACUCCUACGGGAGGCAGCAGUGGGGAAUAUUGCACAAUGGGGGAAACCCUGAUGCAGCGACGCCGCGUGAACGAAGAAGGUAUUCGUAUCGUAAAGUUCUGUCCUAUGGGAAGAUAAUGACAGUACCAUAGAAGAAAGCUCCGGCUAAAUACGUG
rnacentral:rRNA from 1 species